rnacentral:snRNA from 1 species
GUGCUCGCUUCAGCAGCACACAUACUAAAAUUGGAAUGAUACAGAGAAGAUUAGCAUUGCUCCUGCGCAAGGAUGACACGCAAAUUUGUGAAGUGUUCCAUAUUUCA